GCAGCACCAUGGAUGGACCUAGAGAUGAUCCUGCUAAGUGAAUUCCCACAGAGCCAUGAUGCGACCCGGCUCAGAAAUAAUGGGACGUCUUCCUGGAAGUGUGCUCGUUUCUAGAGGGAUUAUGUAUGUUGACGUUAGAAAAGUCUAGACCCACCAGUAGGCACCCUUCUGGGUACUAUCUCCUAACGGAAAUUGUAUCCGAGCGGUUGAGCACCACAUCCUGGAAACUCAUCCCCUCCAUCCUUCCAGAAUUUAGCAAGAAACUAGCUCAGUGGGUCUGAGUUAUGCCAACAUAAGAACACAAUUCUUCCAGCUCAGGGCUCCUUAAUCUCUGUGUGAUGGAGAAAACUAUUUAUUUUUCUUUAAUUUCCAUCUGGCACAGACUAACACUUUUGUAAAAUACAAUAAAAAUGUGUUUGGAGGAUGU